rnacentral:lncRNA from 1 species
AUGGGCAGGAAGGGCCACAUGUGGAGGCUGCGUGGCCCAGGGGUCAGCACCUACCUGGGGGCCGGGAGCAAGCCUGCACGUGCCUGCCCAGCCCCGUGCUCGGUGAGCAUGGAGCUGCAGCACCAGGACACCCCGCCCUUCACAGGUGGGGAAACUGAGGCAGCCACUGGGAACGGCCCACACAAGGCCCUGUUCUGCCCAGCGUCCCCAGGGCCACCUCGCAGGAGUGUUGAGAGCCUGGGCGGGCGGGCGGGCUGUGUCCCAGCACACAGCACACACCGGGCGCCAGGGAGGAGCCCUGAACACCUGCGGAGGGGACGGAGGGGACGGAGAGGGAGCCAGGGAGCAGGGAGGAAGGCACUGUCCUGCCUCAAGGGCUCCCCGGGAGGGCGGGGCAGGCGACCCGCUGUCACUCAGCGUGAGCUGUCACCCAUCCACAAUGAUUCCCUCUGCCACAUGCGUGGGCGUGGCAGGGGGUGGAGCUCAGUUAGCAGGCGCCGGAGUGUGGAUUGCGAGAGCCAGUGGGAGAGGGGCCAGCGGAGGGGGGCGUGGGGCCCCACGGACGGCGCCGGCAGAAUCCUGCAAGGACAGGGCUGCCUGGGACUGUCCGGAGAAGCUUCCGGAAGAUGUCAAGGGCAGAGGACCCUCCAGGGGAGGGAGAACCCAUGCCGCAGACAGUCCUCAGGACCCAGAGACAGCAGCACGCCGGGCCAGGGGGUGGGGUCCAGGGCAGGGCUCAGGACGUGGGCCUGGGGGCGGGGCAGAUGCAGCGCAAGCCUGGCCCUACCGUCUCUGCUGCGGAGUCUGGGGUUCACCGGGGGACCACGGGCUGCCCCACGCCGGCGGCGGGCCGGGGCUGAACCAGCAGGGCGGCCCCCGAUUCGCCGCUGGGCUCGCAGCCGGCUCUGCGUCUUGCUGGGAUUCCUGGGCGCGGCAGGCAAAACGCCCUUCGCUUUGAAAACAGACGGUGCUGCCUGCAAAGACGCACAGAUGCAAACGGGACCCGGAUGCAGCCCGGGGCUGACCGCGACACCGGGGGACCGUCUGGCCCCUGAGGCUCAGUGA